GUCUCAAUCUCCUGAUCUCGUGAUCCACCUGCCUUGGAUUAUAGGCGUGAGCCACUGCGCCCAGCCCCUCCUCCCACAUUUAUACAUGUGAUGUCUUUCAAUAUCAUCUCAGAAUGGAUAAGAUGUAGAUCAAAAAUUCUGUCAAAAACAGUGCAAAAAAAUGCAAGCAGACGAAAUACCAAUUUUCAAGGUUUUUUUUUUGCGUGUCUCAAAUAAGUCAAAGAAGCAUGGGGGAGAAUAAGAAAAAGGAGAGGAGGAAGAGGAAGAGGAGAAGAGGAAGAAGGAGAAGACCACCUUGGAAGGACAAAGAAUAGGAACCAGCAGGCCUGUGAGUUCCAGUGGGUGUGUUGUUUUGGGCAAGAAGUUACCAUCAGAGAGACUCAGUACAAGAAGAGGGAAUGCUGAGAGGCAUUCCUGAGGUCAGAGAGUGUGUUUGCUGGGAAAAUCAGAUGACAUGGGAUGGGAAGG
rnacentral:lncRNA from 10 species